rnacentral:rRNA from 1 species
GGUCCGAACCCACGAGCGUUGAAAAGCUCGGGGAUGACUUGUGGGUAGCGGUGAAAUUCCAAUCGAGCCCGGAGAUAGCUGGUUCUCCCCGAAAUAGCUUUAGGGCUAGCCUCAAGGUGAGAGAUACGGAGGUAGAGCACUGAAUGUCCUAGGGGGGAUUGCACCUACCGAAGACUAUCAAACUCCGAAUGCCGUCAUCUUAUACUUGGGCGUCAGACUGUGGGUGAUAAGAUUCAUAGUCGAAUGGGCAACAGCGCAGAUCGUCAGCUGAGGUCACUAAAUGUAAGUUAAGUGGUAACGGAUGUGGGAUUGCACAGACAACCAGGAUGUUGGCUUAGAAGCAGCCACUCAUUCAAAGAGUGCGUAAUAGCUCACUGGUCGAGUGAUCCUGCGCCGAAGAUUUCCGGGGCUAAAACUUACUACCGAAGCUACGGCAUCAGUAAUGAUGGGUAGGGGAGCUUCCCAUACGGGUUGAAGCAUGACCGUAAGGACAUGUGGACAGUAUGGGAGUGAGAAUGUUGGCAUGAGUAGCGAGAUGUGGGUGAGAAUCCCACAGGCCGUAAACCCAAGGUUUCCAGGGGAAGGUUCGUCCGCCCUGGGGUAGUCGGGACCUAAGCUGAGGCCGAAAGGCGUAGGUGAUGGACAACAGGUUGAUAUUCCUGUACUACCGAUAACCGUUUGAGAGAAGGGAUGACACAGUAGGAUAAGCUAAGCACACUGUUGGUUAUGUGUGCCCAAGCAUUGAGGCAGUCAAAGUAGGCAAAUCCGCUUUGAUAAUGCUGGGAUGUGAUGGGGAGCGAAAUUUAGUAGCGAA